rnacentral:rRNA from 1 species
UACAGAGGUCUCAAGCGUUGUUCGGAUUCAUUGGGCGUAAAGGGUGCGUAGGUGGCGCCGUAAGUCGGGUGUGAAAUUUCGGAGCUUAACUCCGAAACUGCAUUCGAUACUGCGGUGCUUGAGGACUGGAGAGGAGACUGGAAUUCAUGGUGUAGCAGUGAAAUGCGUAGAUAUCGAGAGGAACACCAGUGGCGAAGGCGAGUCUCUGGACAGUUACCGACGCUGAGGCACGAAGGUCAGGGGAGCAAACGGG